rnacentral:rRNA from 1 species
AGUGAACGCUGGCGGUAGGCCUAACACAUGCAAGUCGAACGGCAGCACAGUAAGAGCUUGCCCUUACGGGUGGCGAGUGGCGGACGGGUGAGGAAUACAUCGGAAUCUACUUUUUCGCGGGGGAUAACGUAGGGAAACUUACGCUAAUACCGCAUACGACCUACGGGUGAAAGCAGGGGAUCUUCGGACCUUGCGCGAUUGAAUGAGCCGAUGUCGGAUUAGCUAGUUGGCGGGGUAAAGGCCCACCAAGGCGACGAUCCGUAGCUGGUCUGAGAGGAUGAUCAGCCACACUGGAACUGAGACACGGUCCAGACUCCUACGGGAGGCAGCAGUGGGGAAUAUUGGACAAUGGGCGCAAGCCUGAUCCAGCCAUACCGCGUGGGUGAAGAAGGCCUUCGGGUUGUAAAGCCCUUUUGUUGGGAAAGAAAAGCAGCAGGUUAAUACCCCGCUGUUCUGACGGUACCCAAAGAAUAAGCAUCGGCUAACUUCGUG